rnacentral:lncRNA from 1 species
UCGAAUGAAAAUAUCAAUAUAUUAUCAAUAAUAUUGAUACUGUGAAAUGGAAAUAUCAAAGUCUUAACAAUCGAUAUAUCAAACUAAUUCUAAUUUUUUCCCGGGGAAAACUGAUUUUAUUGCAUUCAAAAAUGUACAAAUCAGGAUUGUAUUCUACUGUUACUUAUUUAAACUAUGUAAUUUGAAUAACACAUUUCCAAACAAAGAUGUAGAUGACAUUUGAGAAUACAGUAUGUAAUUAUUAAUAGUCAAUAAUUAUUAUUUAUCGAUGUAUUGAUAAUAUUAUAUCAACAUUUUGGAUCUAUCGAUAGAAUGAUCAUGAUGACAUGAUGCACAAGCACAAUAAAUUUUGCAAAGGACCAACGGUUUUUCGAAUGAGUUUCAUAGUCUGUAAUUUUUGUGAUUUUAUCCAGGAAAUAUAGGAGCUGUGGUGAUGAAAUUUUCCAACACAAAAGAAAAAGACAUAGGAGCAGUACAGUAAUCAAAUACUGGCUGAAGUCUCCAAAAACUCGGUUUACCAGCAAAGAGAAAUCUGAAAAUGUUCAAACACCGGAUCCUGGAGGAAAAUCUGAAUGCUACAAAAAUUGAGAUUGAAUUGAGGUGCAGUAACAUAAACAAGUAUGUAGCUCAAAAAAUUGCUACUUUAAACAGGAAGAGAUUAAAGUAUUCUGGAGCACCACAAUAAGGACCUUUCUUAAUAGAUAAAUGACAUGCAUAUGAGUUAUUUUAAUAAACAAACUUCUCACAUUA